ACAACUUUCAGCAACGGAUCUCUUGGCUCUCGCAUCGAUGAAGAACGCAGCGAAAUGCGAUAAGUAAUGUGAAUUGCAGAAUUCAGUGAAUCAUCGAAUCUUUGAACGCACCUUGCGCACCUUGGUAUUCCGAGGAGCAUGCCUGUUUGAGUGUCAUUAC
rnacentral:rRNA from 1 species